rnacentral:misc_RNA from 1 species
UCCCCGUUACCGGGGCAGUCUGAUUAGAAAAAUACAACUAAUCAUAGGGGUUGCGCUCGUUGAUGGACUUAACCAAACGUCUCACGACACGAGCUGACGACGGCCAUGCAACACCUGUCUUUGGGUUCCCGAAGGCACUCUCGUCUUUCGACAAAAUUCCCAAGAUGUCAAGCCUUGGUAAGGUUCUUCGCUUACCAUCGAAUUAAACAACACGCUCCACCGCUUGUGCGGGUCCCCGCCAAUUCCUUUGAGUUUUAGUCUUGCGACCGUACUCCCCAGGCGGACAACUUCACGCGUUAGCUGCGGUACUGAGAAAUCGCUUCCCCAACACCUAGUUGUCAUCGUUUAGGGCGUGGACUAC